UACGUAGGGUGCAGGCGUUAAUCGGAAUUACUGGGCGUAAAGCGUGCGCAGGCGGCUCCUUAAGUCAGAUGUGAAAUCCCCGGGCUUAACCUGGGAACUGCGUUUGAAACUGGGGAGCUAGAGUGUGGAAGAGGGGGGUGGAAUUCCAGGUGUAGCAGUGAAAUGCGUAGAUAUCUGGAGGAACACCGAUGGCGAAGGCAGCCCCCUGGGCUAACACUGACGCUCAUGCACGAAAGCGUGGGGAGCAAAC
rnacentral:rRNA from 1 species